rnacentral:rRNA from 1 species
CCUACGGGAGGCAGCAGUGGGGAAUUUUGGACAAUGGGCGCAAGCCUGAUCCAGCAAUGCCGCGUGAGUGAAGAAGGCCUUCGGGUUGUAAAGCUCUUUUGUCAGGGAAGAAACGGUGGGAGCUAAUAUCUCCUACUAAUGACGGUACCUGAAGAAUAAGCACCGGCUAACUACGUGCCAGCAGCCGCGGUAAUACGUAGGGUGCAAGCGUUAAUCGGAAUUACUGGGCGUAAAGCGUGCGCAGGCGGUUUUGUAAGUCUGUCGUGAAAGCCCCGGGCUCAACCUGGGAAUUGCGAUGGAGACUGCAAGGCUUGAAUCUGGCAGAGGGGGGUAGAAUUCCACGUGUAGCAGUGAAAUGCGUAGAGAUGUGGAGGAACACCGAUGGCGAAGGCAGCCCCCUGGGUCAAGAUUGACGCUCAUGCACGAAAGCGUGGGGAGCAAACAGGAUUAGAUACCCUGGUAGUCCACGCCCUAAACGAUGUCUACUAGUUGUCGGGUUUUAAUUAACUUGGUAACGCAGCUAACGCGUGAAGUAGACCGCCUGGGGAGUACGGUCGCAAGAUUAAAACUUCAAAGGAAUUGACCGGNNGAGAGNGCGACGGACGACGACGAGGGAGGAGG